rnacentral:rRNA from 1 species
GAUGAACGCUGGCGGCGUGCCUAAUACAUGCAAGUCGAGCGAACAGACGAGGACUUUGCUUCUCUGACGUUAGCGGCGGACGGGUGUGUAACACGUGGAUACCCUCCCUUUAAGACUGGGAUAACUUCGGGAAACUGGUGAUAAUACCGGAUAAUAUAUUGAACCGCAUGGUUUAAUCGUGAAUGACGGUUUUGCUGUCACUAAUAGAUGGCUCGCGGCCGCAUUGGCUAGUUGGUAAGGUAACGCCUUACCAAGGCAACGAUGCGUAUCCGACCUGAGAGGGUGAUCGGCCACACUGGAGCUGGAACAGGGUCAAGACUCCUACGGAGGGCCGCGGUAGGGAAUCUUCGGCAAGGGGCGAAAGCUUGACGGAGCAACGCCGCAUCGGGAACAAUGGUCUCCGGAUCUUAAUACUCUGUUAUUAGGGAUGAAGAAAUUUGUAGGUAACUAGUCACGUCGUGACGGUACCUAAACAGAAAGCCACGGCUAACUACGUG